rnacentral:tRNA from 1 species
GCCUGCUUCACUCCUGACCGGAGCCGUUCGCUCGGUUUUGUAAACCGAAGGUCGGGGGUUCGAUCCCCUCAUCCGGCACCA